AUGAUCUCCACCUUCCCUCCGCGACUAACCUCAUCAUUUCAACCUCUUUAUAACAUCUGUUCUACAUUCUUUUACUCUUCAAUUCACAACUCGUCCGUCUCAUCCAUGAUUCAAUUCUCUUCGUCGAGCUCUGUCUCAUCUUCUUCUCGAAACAUUAUCAACAUCGCCGCUCACCUCCGUUCUUGCUUUCAUAGUUUCAACGUUAUCGUUUUUCAGAUUUUAUCCCCUAUGUUUUAG